AACGAACGCUGGCGGCAGGCUUAACACAUGCAAGUCGAGCGCCCCGCAAGGGGAGCGGCAGACGGGUGAGUAACGCGUGGGAACGUACCCUUUGCUACGGAAUAGCUCCGGGAAACUGGAAUUAAUACCGUAUGUGCCCUACGGGGGAAAGAUUUAUCGGCAAAGGAUCGGCCCGCGUUGGAUUAGCUAGUUGGUGGGGUAAUGGCCUACCAAGGCGACGAUCCAUAGCUGGUCUGAGAGGAUGAUCAGCCACAUUGGGACUGAGACACGGCCCAAACUCCUGCGGGAGGCAGCAGUGGGGAAUAUUGGACAAUGGGCGCAAGCCUGAUCCAGCCAGGCCGCGUGAGUGAUGAAGGCCUUAGGGUUGUAAAGCUCUUUCACCGGAGAAGAUAAUGACGGUAUCCGGAGAAGAAGCCCCGGCUAACUUCGUGCCAGCAGCCGCCGUAACAC
rnacentral:rRNA from 1 species